GAUGAGCCAUCUGACCUGAAGAGGAAAAUGCUUUGCAGACCACCUGAUGUGGGCAUUCCAGGAGACAUGUCAAAAUCCUGGACAUGCCAAGAGCUGCCACAAUCAAGCCAGGCUGUGAGGUCCCUGGAGCAUUCAAGGGAGGUAACAACACCAAGGUCGGCUCCAGGCCAUUACGGUCAGC